CUCCCAAAGUGUUGGGAUUACAGGUGUGAGCCAGUGUGCCCAGCCCCUUAAAUUCUUUACAUAAAACUCUUUCACAUAUACCAUCUAUUUCUUGCUGGGACCCUGACUGAAACAAUAUUUAACUAUAUUUUCAUCUAGCUUCUUCUAGGAAAGCACUCUGAAGCCAAGUUGAAACAUUAUACUCUCAGGCAGUAGUAGAGAUCAACCUCUUAAAACCAAAUCCAUGGGCCCAGGAGUAUGGAAAAGAGUUCAAUAAAAUGGCCUUAACUGGUAUAAGAAGUUACAAUUGUUAAAAGGAGAUUCAGCUGUGAUAGCAAAAGAGAAAGAAAAUGAAAAAGUUGUCCUGGCUCAUCUCUGGAAAGACAUGAUAUUUCAUAACCUCAAGGUGUUUGCUUCUGACCUAUAACUUCAAUUAUAGACCAGGUUAUCCAAAAGUUCUCCUUAUUAACAAGGUAUCUGUUUUUACCAGGUGUCUGUUAUUAAUUAGUUAGUAUAUAAUUUAAUGCAAUUAACCAAAGCACCUCUUAUGCCUAGAACAUAGCAGGUGGUUUACUUCUUUCUUAUGACAUAUUCAAGACUCAUGGUUUUCCCAUUUUUAGAGUCAAAAACAUAAAUUCCUCCUUUUGCUUUCCUGCGCUAACAUAUCCACCUCACACACCUGUUUACUCUUUGUUUGCAGGGAAAUGUGUACAUCUGCUAGGGCGUGAUCUCGAUGAUGAGGUGACAUAUGGGAUGUCAUUCCAUUAUUUAAAGAACAAAUUCCAAAGAUCAAACUUUUCUCCCCACACUUGUGAGUGAUACAUGGGUCUUCUCAGGGACAUUAAAAUGGAGCUAGUCUCACUGAUUUCAUGGACAUUUAGCAUACAAUUAUUGAGUUACCUGCUGAAAUCUCUUCAUACAUAUCUGGUUUCACCCUAGGUUAUGAAUAUCCAUGCAGACUAUUUUUCCAAGCUUCUACGCAACUAACCUUGGCACUUACCCCCAGCUCAGGCAGCAAGCAAAUUAUUCUGGCUUGAUGUCCAUCUGAUGGUUUACUCUUGCUACCUCCUACUCCCUACUAUAACCACAAAUGACCUCCUCCCCACUUGCUCUCAUUCUUACCAGAAGUUUUCAGUUAACAGCUCACUACUAAGCCAGUUUCCUUCUUAAAGUAUAUAUAUCCUUUUAAAAUUUCCAGUCUUGUUACUCUCUCUCUUCCUCUUCAAUUUCUUGUCCUGUUGUCACAAGAUCUCUUCUUAGCUCACCAAAUUAUCUUCUCUUCCCUUUCUCUUUUAUUCCAUUUAUGAACAAGACACCAACUUCUACCACAACAACAGAACAAAACAACCCCUAGCUUCAAAGAGAACAAAAAAACCCCAAAAUAAAUUAAAAAUGGCUUUAAUGCUUAGAGUUGCAGGGACAAGAAAAACCACAUUCUUUUAAAAUGAAAUUAGAUGUCAUAAAGGACUAUGAACUAGUAAGAGUUCCCCGAAGUCCCCUUCCGAAUCUCACAAAAGACUCCAUCUCCUUCUUCAUCUGGCUUUUUGUUAAUAACCAAUGUCCAAUAUAAAUAGAAACAUUGCUUUGUUUUGA
rnacentral:lncRNA from 1 species